rnacentral:tRNA from 1 species
GUGGUGGCUCAGUGGUAGAGCACUCACCUAGCAUGUGCAAGGCCCUGGGUUCGAUCCUCAGCACCACA